GUCACAUCCUUCUGGGCGAGUGUGUUUUAGAGGACAUUUGAAUAAAAGGCUGAAUGCCAGGUAUGGGUGACAUGGUGGGUGGAAACUUCACCUCCUUACAAAGCCGUGGCAGCCCCUAUUUGCAUAAGGUCAGGGGAGAGCUUCUGCUAGAACUUUGCCAGCAUCCCUGUCUCUUAGCAACCCUCCUGCUCUCUUGGUCUGGGUUUCCACUGGGCUGGUCUUCUUCUUUUCUUCUUUUCAAAGGCAGGCUUACAAUCAAAGUCACCCUUCCCAACCUGUGCCUGUCACCCAAACAGGUGACAGGAACAAAGAAACCGCAUUCUGAGUGACAGCACCAUCUCUUCUGAAUUUCCAGCCUAAUUCUUUCUCAACUGCCAUGGUAUUCCCCGAUCAACGAAACCCACCUGUCUCCCUUCCCAGUGUUGGCAGCUGGAAUCAGAGGAGUUCCAUGCACCUAGGGAGAGGAAAGGAGGGGCUUCUCUUUCAUCUUCCAGACUCUGGAUUGGUCCUAUCAGGAGAGAACUGCAUUCAGAAAACAAAGGGGAAAUUUAGAGAACUGAAUGUGUGUACCUGGGUGUCCCCCAAUGGCUUUGAUAGAAUGUGGACACAUGAUACCCAUCUAGACACAAUCUAAUGCAUGUCUGUCUGAUUAAAAAUGAACCUGGAUUUUUCCAUUGUGUUCAGAGAGCACACUUAGGAUUACACACACUUAGGAGUCUACUCAACCAAGGCACCUGCUGCGUCUUCUUUUUCUGCUGCUCCCUUAGGGGAAAUGCAGUGUUGGCCCUAUAGGCUCUGGCUACCCUUACCCUGAUGUUAGGAAAGUGUGAAGGCAAGAGGAGAAGGGGAAAACAGAGGAUGAGAUGGCUGGACAGUGUCACCGAAGCGACCGACAUGAAUUUGACCCAACUCCAGGAGACAGUGCAAGACAGGAGGGCCUGGCGUGCUCUGGUCCAUGGGGUCACAAAGAGUCAGACAUGACUUAAUGACUAAACAACAAAAAACACCCUUAGCCAGUCCAUGUUCCCCCAACUCCUUACCAGUAUGCCUUUUCUGCCCAAUUUGCCAUAGUGUCUCAACUAAACAAAAGUCUGGAAAAGUCUAAGGUAUGAUAGA
rnacentral:lncRNA from 1 species